UACGGGGGGGGCAAGCGUUGUUCGGAAUUACUGGGCGUAAAGGGCUCGUAGGCGGCCGACUAAGUCAGACGUGAAAUCCCUCGGCUCAACCGGGGAACUGCGUCUGAUACUGAUUGGCUUGAGUUCGGGAGAGGGAUGCGGAAUUCCAGGUGUAGCGGUGAAAUGCGUAGAUAUCUGGAGGAACACCGGUGGCGAAGGCGGCAUCCUGGACCGACCCUGACGCUGAGGAGCGAAAGCCAGGGGAGCAAACGGG
rnacentral:rRNA from 1 species